GUCAGGGGAGAGGGAAAGAUCAACAGUGCCGCUUCUCGGAUCCUCGUGGCUUUUGGUCCAGGAGGCCCUGAGGAGUCCCCAGGGGCAGGGCUAAGGGUUCAGGAAGAGCUGGGUGCAAAGUUGGAGCUCUAUCUGCAAAGCACACCCCUCGCCCCUUUCCCCUCCCGGAACUGCUGAUGACUGUGGAUGAGUCCGUGGGAGAAACCGAGACGCAGCCACGCGCGCCCUCCUGUGUGUGCUGUUCCCUUUCCUCCAGCUCCACCAAAGAACGCUGACUGAUACAGGGAGCCCCAGGGCCCUGACUGAGAUUGACAGACCUGAGAAUUCUCUGGAAUGGUCAACAUUUGAUGAGCGUCUACUAUGUGUCGACCUCUGUGUCAGGCACCGGCAUACUGACUCUCUGGAAAGGCACUGGACCUGGACAAUGAGACACAGCUGAGGACCUGGAGAUGUGGAGAUCUGUCUAUGGGAUCAUUACCUGGAUGGGCCCGAAAUCCAACAACAGGUGUCCUCACGAGAGGCACACAGAGGAGAGACACCCAGACAGAAGAGGAGAAGGCCGUGUGAACGUUGAAGCAGAGACUGGAGUGCCGCAGCCAUCAGCCAGCGAACGCCCGGAGCCCCCGACGCUGGGAGACGCAGGAGCAGGGUCUCCCCUAGAGCUUCCACAGGGAGUGUGGCCCUGCCGACACCCUGCAUUUGGACUUGCAGCCAUCCGAGUGGCAAGACAUUCAGUUGCUGUGGUUGUGAGCUACGAAGUUGAUGGUCAUUCGUUGCAGGAACUCCAGGAAAUGACUACACAUCCCAACGCACAUCUUCUAAGAAUUCCUGGGGGUUUGCACUCCUGAGACUCUUCCACAUGUGCCCGAUUUUGUCCCAUUUUGCUCCAUGUCCACCUGCAAGUGAGAAGGUCCCCUCAUCUUGUUGCAAGUGAGAAGGUCCCCUCAUCUUGUUCCACGUGAAAUGUGCUCGCACCAAGAAUUUCUUGUAUUUAGGAAACCAGGGGGCAGGAGUCUAGCAGAGACAGGUCCUGUUCUCCAGUACAAAUACUGAGUCUUUCCUCCUCCAAAUUUGGGUAAAUAUAAUGAUCCCCAAGCUUUACAGAGUGAAUCAGACACCUGCGGGUGAGCAAAUCCUGAGAAACAGAAUGGUGCACACGAGUGUGUGCGUGUGUGUGUGUGACAGAGAGUGUAAGUACGUGUGUUCCCCAAGCUGUUCCCCUCCUUCACAUCCCCACCAACCUCGCUUCCAGGGGAGGAAGGAAAGGCAUCCUUCCAGCCAGCAAGCCAGAGGAGCCUGGCCGUCAGGAUAGGAGAUGCUGCCCAGAGUCUGCUUCUGAGAACAAAGAUGAGCGAACUCAAAGAAGACUGCACAGGACUGAAGAUUUUCACGUGUGUCCGUCUGGCAGUGGUGGGGGAGGUUUCCGGAGGAGCAGGGCAGGCUCCGGCCACACAGCCUCCGUGAUGACUCACAGGUCCACAGCUCGGCCAUGCCUCCCCUCUAUGUGCCUGACUGUCGUGCAGUGGGCUGUGUGGAUGUUGGUCACCCCCCUUCACUGCUGGCCUUUUCCAGGAUGUCCCUUUGAGGCUACAACCAUCUAGCCAGUUAUACAAGUCAGAACCCUGGGAGCGUCCCCUGACCCCUUCCUCCUUUUUGUCCCCCAAACCCAUCCCAGCCCCAGAGCCCCAGAGUGUUUUUCUUACUGUCACUAAAAUGUCACCUCAGCAGCUUUCCCCUUACCAGCUCUGUUGGCUCCUUGUUCCUCCCUCCAUGGCCCUUGUCAUGGUUGCAGUUUGCCUAGAGAAGAGAAACCACAGCUGCUUGUUCUCUGGGGGUGUCCCCAGUGCUCCCAAACAGGGCCUGGUGCUCAAGAAAUACUUGUCAAAUAAUUGAAUAAAUGAGUAAAUGAAUGAGCAAAUGCUAUGUUGAACCAGGGUGCUGGAAAGAAAUAGAAAGGCUUCCCCAGCAGAGUUUGAGGUCCUCUUGGGAAUAGCCCCAGGUGUCCUAGAUGACAAGAAAGGAGAACCCCCCCCCACCUGAACACAGGGCUGGACCCAGCCAGAAGCCUCCCAGGUCCCGGAACCUGGCGCGGGAGCGGAACGCCCAUCCCAGUGCUUUGGGCGUUGGGAGACUGUUCCUCUCCACUCGUCUGGUGCUUGCCAGCUGUGUUUUCCAUUCAUUAAACUUUUCCAAAGGGUGUUGGGUUCAGAUCGUCUGUGAAUGGUGGGUGCUGAAUGGGGCAAGGGGGUCAGGGAACGUGAACUAUACACCCUUCCGGCUGCCUUCAGGAAGACUUCAAAGGAGGGUGAGUCCAGUGCAAUUAAGGGAGCUGUUCUGAGCUCCCUGUGUGGGUGGCAGCCUGCCUCGGGUCCGGCAGCAAGCUCUAUUACAAUCCGCUCCGUCCACACUGCAGUUGGCCCCACGCCGACAUUUUAUUUUGAAAUUGUCAAACCUACAGAAAAAUUGAAAAAAGACUACAUUAAAUUCCCCCCCCCCACACACACCUUCCUCUAGAUUCUCCAACUGUUAGCAUUUUGUCAUAUUUGCUUUCUCUUUCUCGUCCCCUUUCUCUGUGUGUUUUACAUGCUUUUAUUUUGCUGAACCAUUUGCAAGCAAGUUGCUGACAUCUUGAUGCUUCACUUCUAAAUAUCUCAGCAUCUCCGACUAAGGAUGUUGUGCCACAAAACCACAAUACCAUUUUCACAACCAUAAUAGCAUCCAGUGUACCAUCAGUAUUCAAAUCUCUACCAUUGUCCCCCAAAUGUCAUUUAAAGUUGGAUUUUUUUUCUGCUAUCCAGAAUCCAGUCGAGUUUCCCGUAUGAUAUUUGGUUAUGUCUCUUUAAUCUCCCAGGAUGUCAGAUAGUCUGUCACCUUUGUGUCGUUGCUGUGCCUAUUGGUUUUUCUGGUGACCUUGGCUCUUUUGAAGAGUCCUGGCCAGUUGGCGUGUGGGAUGUCCCCCAUGCCGAAUUAAUCUGGUUAUUUACUCAUGGCUACAUUCAGGUUUACUACGUUGGGCAAGAGUACGACCUAGGUGAUAGUGCGUACUGCUACUUGAAUCACAUCAGAGAGAAGAUAAUGUCAGGUUGUGCCCUCUUGGUGAUGCUGAGUGAUGGUCUCCAUUUUCUCCUUUGCGAUUACGAAGUAGCUCGUGGGAUUCUCACGUGGGCCUGGCCUCGACUGAAUGGCCCGUUCCCCUAAAUGGCUGAGCCAUCGGCAGCCAGGCUUGCCCGAAUCAAAUACCACAAGGGGGGGUGAAAGUGGUGGUGGUUCAUUCUUUUCUUCCUCCACCUUGACGAGCUGGAAUGUCCCCCAGCUCUUUCCCUAAAAAUCACUGUGGAUUCAUGGAUUUAAAAAAAAAUGUGCGAUAACCUGACACCAUCAUUAUCCAUUUUGGUGUUCACGUAGCCCCGCACGGAGCAGCGUGAGUCCUUCAGCUCCUGCAGCCCUUGCGCGGGAUCACAAUUUAUCUUUGGCACCACAAGAUAUUCUGGGCUCACGCUGUACAUUUUUAGCCCCAGACCUAGAAUUAACCAUUUCUGCAAGGAGUCCUGGCUCCCUUCGUGGUGAAUGACAGCUUGAAAACAAGAACACAGGGGCACCUGGCUGGCUCAGUCGGUUAAGCGUCUGCCUUUGGCUCAGGUCAUGAUCCCAGGGUCCUGGGAUGGAGCCCUGCG